rnacentral:rRNA from 1 species
UACGGAGGAUGCGAGCGUUAUCCGGAUUUAUUGGGUUUAAAGGGUGCGUAGGCGGUUUAUUAAGUUAGUGGUUAAAUAUUUGAGCUAAACUCAAUUGUGCCAUUAAUACUGGUGAACUGGAGUACAGACGAGGUAGGCGGAAUAAGUUAAGUAGCGGUGAAAUGCAUAGAUAUAACUUAGAACUCCGAUAGCGAAGGCAGCUUACCAGACUGUAACUGACGCUGAUGCACGAGAGCGUGGGUAGCGAACAGG